GCAAGUCGAGCGGAUGAGUGGAGCUUGCUCCAUGAUUCAGCGGCGGACGGGUGAGUAAUGCCUAGGAAUCUGCCUGGUAGUGGGGGACAACGUUUCGAAAGGAACGCUAAUACCGCAUACGUCCUACGGGAGAAAGUGGGGGAUCUUCGGACCUCACGCUAUCAGAUGAGCCUAGGUCGGAUUAGCUAGUUGGUGAGGUAAAGGCUCACCAAGGCGACGAUCCGUAACUGGUCUGAGAGGAUGAUCAGUCACACUGGAACUGAGACACGGUCCAGACUCCUACGGGAGGCAGCAGUGGGGAAUAUUGGACAAUGGGCGAAAGCCUGAUCCAGCCAUGCCGCGUGUGUGAAGAAGGUCUUCGGAUUGUAAAGCACUUUAAGUUGGGAGGAAGGGCAGUAAGUUAAUACCUUGCUGUUUUGACGUUACCAACAGAAUAAGCACCGGCUAACUUCGUGCCAGCAGCCGCGGUAAUACUAAGGGUGCAAGCGUUAAUCUGAAUUACUGGGCGUAAAGCGCGCGUAGGUGGUUCGUUAAGUUGGAUGUGAAAUUCCCGGGCUCAACCUGGGAACUGCCUCCAAUACUGGCGAGCUACAGUACGGAAGAGGGAAGUGGAAUUUCCGGGGUGG
rnacentral:rRNA from 2 species